rnacentral:rRNA from 1 species
CCUACGGGCGGCAGCAGUGGGGAAUAUUGGACAAUGGGGGGAACCCUGAUCCAGCGACGCCGCGUGAGUGAAGAAGUAUUUCGGUAUGUAAAGCUCUAUCAGCAGGGAAGAAAAUGACGGUACCUGACUAAGAAGCCCCGACUAAUUACGUGCCAGCAGCCGCGGUAAUACGUAGGGGGCAAGCGUUAUCCGUAUUUACUGGGGGUAAAGGGAGCGUAGACGGUGCAGCAAGUCUGAGGUGAAAGGUUGGGGCCCAACCCCGGGACUGCAUUGGAAACUGUUGAACUGGAGUACAGGAGAGGUAAGGGGAGUUCCUGGUGUGGCGGUGAAGUGCGUGGAUAUUAGGAGGAACACCAGUGGCGAGGGCGGCUUACUGGACUGUAACUGACGUUGAGGCUCGAAGGCGUGGGGAGCAAACAGGAUUAGAUACCGAGUAGUC